rnacentral:rRNA from 1 species
ACAUACAAGUAGUAGGGAAAGGAAACUGGACCGACCUCCGGGAGCUUGAACAGGUGCUGCAUGGCUGUCGUCAGCUCGUGUCGUGAGAUGUUCGGUUAAGUCCGCUAACGAGCGCAACCCUCGCUGUGUGUUACAAGUGUCACACGGAACUGCCGGUCAUAAACCGGAGGAAGGUGGGGAUGACGUCAAGUCAGCAUGGCCUUUAUAUCCUGGGCUACACACACGCUACAAUGGGAAGGGACAAUAGGUUGCGAAACCGCGAGGUGGAGCCAAUCCAGCAAAACUUCCCUCAGUUCAGAUUGCAGGCAGCAACUCGCCUGCAUGAAGUUGGAGUUGCUAGUAAACGCAGGUCAGCCAUACUGCGUUGAAUACGUUCCCGGGGCUU